rnacentral:rRNA from 1 species
GACGAACGCUGGCGGCGUGCUUAACACAUGCAAGUCGAACGGUAAGGCCCUGCUUUUGUGGGGUGCUCGAGUGGCGAACGGGUGGGUAACACGUGAGUAACCUGCCCUUGACUUUGGGAUAACUUCAGGAAACUGGGGCUAAUACCGGAUAGGAGCUCCUGCUGCAUGGUGGGGGUUGGUAAGUUUCGGCGGUUGGGGAUGGACUCGCGGCUUAUCAGCUUGUUGGUGGGGUAGUGGCUUACCAAGGCUUUGACGGGUAGCCGGCCUGAGAGGGUGACCGGCCACAUUGGGACUGAGAUACGGCCCAGACUCCUACGGGAGGCAGCAGUGGGGAAUAGUGCACAAUGGGCGGAAGCCUGAUGCAGCAACGCCGCGUGCGGGAUGACGGCCUUCGGGUUGUAAACCGCUUUCGCCUGUGACGAAGCGUGAGUGACGGUAAUGGGUAAAGAAGCACCGGCUAACUACGUG